rnacentral:rRNA from 1 species
CCAUGCCGCGUGCAGGAAGAAGGCCUUCUGGGUCGUAAACUGCUUUUGCCGGGGGAUAAAUAGCCUUGCGAGGUUAAUUGAAGGUACCCGGUGAAUAAGCCACGGCUAACUACGUGCCAGCAGCCGCGGUAAUACGUAGGUGGCAAGCGUUGUCCGGAUUUAUGGGUUUAAAGGGUGCGUAGGCGGCCCCAUAAGUCAGUGCUGAAAUACUCUAGCUUAACUAGAGGGGUGGCAUUGAUACUGCGGGGCUUGAGUGUAGUCGAGGUAGGCGGAAUUGACGGUGUAGCGGUGAAAUGCUUAGAUAUCGUCAAGAACACCGAUAGUGUAGACAGCUUACUAGGUUACAACUGACGCUGAGGCACGAAAGUGUGGGGAUCAAACAGGAUUAGAUACCCUGGUAGUCCACACUGUAAACGUUGAUUACUCGCUGUUGGCGAUAUACAGUCAGCGGCUUAGCGCAAGCGAUAAGUAAUCCACCUGGGGAGUACGCCGGCAACGGUG